GAGGGGCAGCAUGGUCUUAGCUUGCUAAGACUGAUGGCGACCGGCGCACGGGUGAGUAACACGUAUCCAACCUGCCGUCUACUCUUGGACAGCCUUCUGAAAGGAAGAUUAAUACAAGAUGGCAUCAUGAGUCCGCAUGUUCACAUGAUUAAAGGUAUUCCGGUAGACGAUGGGGAUGCGUUCCAUUAGAUAGUAGGCGGGGUAACGGCCCACCUAGUCUUCGAUGGAUAGGGGUUCUGAGAGGAAGGUCCCCCACAUUGGAACUGAGACACGGUCCAAACUCCUACGGGAGGCAGCAGUGAGGAAUAUUGGUCAAUGGGCGAGAGCCUGAACCAGCCAAGUAGCGUGAAGGAUGACUGCCCUAUGGGUUGUAAACUUCUUUUAUAAAGGAAUAAAGUCGGGUAUGGAUACCCGUUUGCAUGUACUUUAUGAAUAAGGAUCGGCUAACUCCGUGCCAGCAGCCGCGGUAAUACGGAGGAUCCGAGCGUUAUCCGGAUUUAUUGGGUUUAAAGGGAGCGUAGAUGGAUGUUUAAGUCAGUUGUGAAAGUUUGCGGCUCAACCGUAAAAUUGCAGUUGAUACUGGAUAUCUUGAGUGCAGUUGAGGCAGGCGGAAUUCGUGGUGUAGCGGUUAAAUGCUUAGAUAUCACGAAGAACUCCGAUUGCGAAGGCAGCCUGCUAAGCUGCAACUG
rnacentral:rRNA from 1 species